UUUGCCAUUCAUAUCUGGAAUUUGAACACACCUCAAAUCAGCUCUAUGGAACACCAUUGCCAGCUAACAAUUGUUUGAAAUUGCUAACUAUUUAUUUGUAGCUGACAGUGUAAAAGUGCUCCUCUUUCUCCGGAUGAACAGAACCUGCAGAACUUACCAGUGAUUCACAUUUAUCAGGAGACCAUCAUCACCACCAUGGCAAUGUUGACCAUAUCUCUGCUGCUCUGUGCUGCCGUUGCUCUGAAUGGUGCAACAGGUGCUGAGGCCCUACCCGAGGCCCUACCCGAGGCCCUACCCGAGGCCCUACCGACAUCCCAGAAAGCACAGUCGAAAGUUCCAUAUGUUCAGCAAGUAAAGCAUCUUAACGCGCAAUUACCGCUGCAAGCUCCUUGUAGUUGCCCUUGUGUCAUAUCCUCUAGUAGCCAAUUCUGGCCUGACCCAAAAUGCAGUGGUGUUGAUAUGCCGCUUGACAACAUCCCUGUUUCUUCUUACUUUCCCGUUGUGUUGCGAGGUUUGAAUACGCAGACCUUCGUCAUAAUUGAUUCAGCUUUUUCCCAACUUAGAUCUGAUGUGGGCAUUUAUAUGCUCCAUGAUUUUGUUUUGGCAUUUAGUUGAACGAUCAAUGUACUUCAGGUCACUGUACCCCCCUUUUGCCCAAGUUUCAGACUUUCCAAAAAGCAGGCAAGUCCUGCAAUGCAAGGCUCCCUGUUAACCAGCUAUACAUUUAAUUCCAGUUGGUUGAAAUAAAUUGCACUAACUGGACACAAAAAUAAAGUUCUAAAACCAAGAAAACAAUUUAUAAUCUACCUCUUCCAUCUCCUGUAUUCGGCACAACCCGAAUACAACACACUAGGUUCAUUCUCUAAUUCUAAUCCUAUGAUUGGAUGAACCGCAUGUCUGUUCAUACUGCCAAAGCUUUGACUGGAUGGAGGUCGUCCUCCGGAAGUGGUCAUAAUUACCAUGUAUAUCUAUUGAAGGGGUUGAGGCCUACGAGCCUCCUAGGUUUUGUAUUGAAGUCAAUGUACCCAGAGGAGGACAGAAGAUAGCUGUCCUCCGGCUACACCAUGGUGCUACCCCAGCGAGUACUGUUGCUAUAGACCUUCAUUGCAAAACUAUUUGUUUUAAUCAAUUAUUUGCUGAGAAAUGAAUGUAUUUAGUAUAGUUUAAUCUAAAAAGGAUCACUUUUUUAUUGUUUCACUAUUUUUAUUUUUAUUAAAUUUUACUGAGGAGGAUGGUACUCUCAUUCUUCUUCUGCGGAGCCUCCACUGGACUGGGCAGUAGUCCAGGUGUGACAAAACUAGGGCCUGUAGGACUUGUUUUGUUGAUAGCCUUGUCAAGAAAGCAGAGCAGCGCUUUAUUACGGACAGACCCCUGCCCAUCUUAGCUACCUUUGCAUCAAUACGUUUUGACCAGACAGUUUACAAUCCAAGGUUACACCGAGCAGUUUAGUCUCCUCAGCUUGCUCAAUUUCCUUGAUGGAGGUGGGGUGAUAGAAACAGGCUGAUAUGCCCAUAAACGAAGCAGUCAGUCCUUUCUUGCUCCAUCCGUCUAUCCACAUGGUUAUUUUUCAUGCCUCUUUCAAAAUCUCCUUAACGUUCUGGGUUGCUGUAUAGUUUUGCGAAGCAAUCAAGCCGUUCGCUCUAACAGCAGCAGGAGUUUGACAUUUGGUAUCAAGUGUUCAGUUGAAUUUUCUGAAGGCUGGCUCAUCGCAGUCUCGUGGAAUUUUCAGACUGGACGAAUUAAUUAACCAGUGCUUCUUCUCUUUUUUUGAAACUCAUUUGAGGUUGCUAUGGUUGCUAUGUUUCUGCUCUUUUCAUGCAAACUGCUGAAGUUGGUUGUCCUGACGUGCAGCUACUGGUUAACGUGCAGCUACUAAUAGCUAGCUGGUGGCUAUCUCACCUGGUAUUUAUACUGAAAUUGUUUGUAUGAUUCUUUGAACAAACUCUGAGAUCCUAGACUGUACCUUUAAGAAUCCUGUUACAAUUAUGGCAGUAUCAUUCAUGUUUAAUAAUGAUUCUGAAGAGGAAACACAAUGUCUACUCCCGUUUUAUUGACAAUAAACAACAAAACAAGU